GCGUUAAUCGGAAUUACUGGGCGUAAAGCGUGCGCAGGCGGUUGUAUAAGACAGGCGUGAAAUCCCCGGGCUCAACCUGGGAAUGGCGCUUGUGACUGCACGGCUGGAGUGCAGCAGAGGGGGAUGGAAUUCCGCGUGUAGCAGUGAAAUGCGUAGAUAUGCGGAGGAACACCGAUGGCGAAGGCAGUCCCCUGGGCCUGCACUGACGCUCAUGCACGAAAGCGUG
rnacentral:rRNA from 1 species